CAGGGAGGAGCUGACCUUCCUCAAGAGAACCUGCUCUGCUGAGACGUGCCCCCGCCCCAUGCUGGUCAUCGAGCCCCAGAGGGCAGGGAGCCCCUGGUCAGAGCGAGCUUUGUUGGCCUUGCUGGAGUCCCCCCUUCCCCUCCCCGCAGAGCUGGCAGCGUUUAGAGCUGCCUGGCAGGGGCACCGUGGACCCUGGCGCAGGAGGGCAGCCGUGCUCACCUGCAGCCACCGUCCCCUGAAAAACAUCACUAUGGAGGAGCCGAGCGUUGCACCUUCUUGGGAGCAGAUUCCUGCCCAGGAGCCGCCUCGCCCAGCUCCGGGAUCCGCUCCAAGGAGGGAAGGGUCCACAUCCCGGGUUUCUGAGCCAACUGCUGGAGUCCAUUCAGCCCCAGAGCAGCCGUCUGGCCACGCGGGGACCCGUGCCUUCCAGCGGUGGCUGUGAAAUGAACAGCCCUCAGAGCACCGCACAUCCGCCCUCCGUCCCCGUGCCCCGGAGGGGCCACAAAGCAGGGCCACUCUCCAGGGGACAGUCCCUUGGCCUCCGCAGACACGGGAAAUGAGCAGCGGGAAGGACAGCCUGGAGCAGGGCCCAGGGAGCCAAGUGCCUGUGUGCAAACAAGCUCAGGACGCACGCCCCGCGGCACGGCCACUCCACCGCCGCCCCACCCAACCCGGCUGAUGCCCUCGACCCCUGGGACAUCCAGGGAACACCGUGUGCACACCCCCGUGGAGCCAGGGCCACAGAAUUGACGGCAGGGACAGCAGGGCCCUGGCUGUGCCCAGACCACAGAGCCCUGUGGUCCUGCUGCCAGGGGAACAGAUGCAGCCGGGCCUGGGCCAGGGGAGGGGCGCUUCCCGGGCUCCGACCCAGCCGUCGUCAGGACAGGUGGGCAGGAGGGCCAUCCGGGUGGUGCAGCAUCCUGCUCCCAGCUAUCCCCCGUGCCCACCUGAGCUCCUGCACUGCCCUGGCCCUCCACGUGCCACCUCUGCCCUGGCCUCAUCACCUUGCCACCCUGACCCAGGCGGCCACGUCCCCAGGCCCUGCUGGAGCCUGAGCUACCUCACUGGAGCCCUGCAGGACCCUGAAGCCUCCGCAGGGAGCUAGCAGCAUCCCGCGGGGUGCAGCCGGGAAGCCCCUUCGGGAAAGGUGGGUGGCAGUGGCCAGACCCCCGCCUCCUUCUCCUCAUUUGAAAGGUAAAAACAUUAAAUAAACCUGCUUUUGGGGAGGAGAAGUGGUGCCUCGGAAGGUGGCACACAGGACAUGCAUCAUUUCCUCGGGGCCUUGUUACUCCCGGGACCUCAGGCCACCCCAGUGUCCUGGCAGCGGUGGCCUGAGACUCAGCGAGGUUGGGGCCACAGGGUCACAGCACAGCCCCUGUAGCAUCUGCCCUUGGGCCCGUC